CCAGACUCCUACGGGAGGCAGCAGUGAGGAAUAUUGGUCAAUGGCCGCAGAGCUGAACCAGCCAAGUCGCGUGAGGGAAGACGGUCCUAUGGAUUGUAAACCUCUUUUGCCGGGGAGCAAAAAGCGGUACGUGUACCGCAUCGAGAGUACCCGGAGAAAAAGCAUCGGCUAACUCCGUGCCAGCAGCCGCGGUAAUACGGAGGAUGCGAGCGUUAUCCGGAUUUAUUGGGUUUAAAGGGUGCGUAGGCGGGACGGUAAUUCAGGGGUAAAAUUGAGGGGCACAACCUCUUCGAGCCGUUGAAACUGGUUUUCUUGAGUGAGCGAGAAGUAUGCGGAAUGCGUGGUGUAGCGGUGAAAUGCAUAGAUAUCACGCAGAACUCCGAUUGCGAAGGCAGCAUACCGGCGCUCAACUGACGCUCAUGCACGAAAGUGUGGGUAUCGAACAGGAUUAGAUACCCCUGUA
rnacentral:rRNA from 1 species